CUCUCCUGGUAUAUAAGUAUUGAAAGACCCCCGAAGGGAGACCCUCACUCAAAUCUCGGGAAUAGCGCGCACUCAGUGAGGCACCAAGACCG
rnacentral:pre_miRNA from 11 species